GCCUCUGCGUUCUGAUUCUAUGGAACCUUUUUGUAGGGAGAAGGGCAGGAUGUUUUUAACUGAAUGUGACCUCACGGGAAUACUAGAGAAAAUAAUAAAAUUUCUGAAUGGGGCAGCGUGGAGAAAUCCUAAGAGAAAUAGCAUAAGAGCAUUUUGGAACACAUCCAGGAAAAGAUAACUUUCGACACACCUGUAGACAUUCGCCAGGUAAAGAGCCCCCAAUUUUGUGAGAGACCCUGAAGCAUUGUGACAAUUUGGUUUUAUGUGUCUGCGUGCUCAUAUCAAGACUAAGGAGCGAUGGGAACUCUCCAGCUUAGAUCCAGUAGCUUUUAGGGAAGAUGGAUGCAGAGGCUGAAGAUAAAACACUGUGUACUCGCUCUAAAGGAACCGAGGUGCCAAUGGAUUCACUAAUCCAGGAGCUCAGUGUUGCCUAUGAUUGCUCCAUGGCAAAGAAGAGGAGAGCUGAAGAUCAGGCUUUGGGGGUCCCCGUCAACAAAAGGAAAUCCCUGCUAAUGAAGCCCCGACACUACAGCCCAAACGCAGACUGCCAAGAAGACCGUGGUGACAGGACGGAGGACGACGGCCCACUGGAAAC